rnacentral:rRNA from 1 species
UACAGAGGUCCCAAGCGUUGUUCGGAUUCACUGGGCGUAAAGGGUGCGUAGGCGGUCGGGUAAGUCUGAUGUGAAAUCUCAGAGCUCAACUCUGAAACUGCAUUGGAUACUAUUCGGCUUGAGGUCUGGAGGGGGGACUGGAAUUCUUGGUGUAGCAGUGAAAUGCGUAGAUAUCAAGAGGAACACCAGUGGCGAAGGCGAGUCCCUGGACAGAUCCUGACGCUGAGGCACGAAAGCUAGGGGAGCAAACAGG